AAGGGCUUUCCUCUCCACUACUCCUCCUCCCUUAUGUUGAAGUUCCCGUUGUCACUUUGGUUUUGCCCAGUUUGGACUCUGAAUUGAAUAACUGAACAAACCGAAGCAGACGAAGCCUGGAGGUGGUGUUAGAUGACCUACCGUUCCUACAGCAUCAACUGUUCAACUGCACCAUUUUAAUUGUUGGGUAGAUCAUUUUAAACUCUUCACUUUGGGGGAGCUGCCCUGGCUGACCCCUGGACGGCAAUGAGUGGAAUGUGCGGACAGAAAGGACAAGACGGACAGAACAGACUCUCAGGGAGGAGAGACUCCGCCUGCAGCGAUUGCCUUACUCCGCAUGGGCCGCCAUCCCUCUCUGGAUCACCUGUGCUACGGUUAUUCCAUGUUAGACGCUCUCUUCUCCCUUCGGACGUCACUCGCUCCUAAAAUGCUUUGCUAAAGCUGGUAAAAUGGAACCAAAUCAACUGUUCAAUGGAUUUGGUCCCCUUCAACCAGCUGUAGCUGUGCAUUGAUCACUCCGAACAUCCGACGGAACGCAGUGGAACCAAAGGAACGCCUUUGUACGCUUAAACUCAUUGUCAUGUAAUUCUUCUUACCAGCGACUGUGAACAUUUAUCUCUUUUAAACAAAUUACCUGAAACAAUUUAGCUCAUCUGAAUGAAACAGCCAAGUCAGUAAUUAUAGAUAUCUUAGCGUGCGCCGUGUUCGGCUGCGUUAAGCUGCAGCUGUCUUGUCCUUUGGUGAAUUAAAUUGUUCUUUGGAUAUUUUUUAUGGGUCCCGAAAGGUAUUAUUGAGAAGUAAAAGGAUGUGAGAAAGGUGCUCAGGUUUGUUCAAAAUAUGUGUGUGUGUUAAUAAAGCAUCAAAUAGUUCAAAUUUAUAAACCUUUCUCUUAAAUAUGUGUAAAUAGAUCAGUUUUCAAUAUAUUUUCAAUCUAUUUUAACAUGAAUAAAGGUUUUUGUUAUUCAGUAAUACAUUUUGUUUUGUGGGAUUGAUAGGAUGUAGUAACACGACUCUGCAUGAAAAACCAUUUUAUAACAGUGAUGUUAGAUGAAGCUGAUUUUUCUCUUACUGUUACAAAUAUAAGAAACAAGU